AUUGUUGGUCUUAAGGUAGAUCAUAAGUAAAUCUUUUUUGAGACAGAAUUUUCUUAUACUUAGCCAGAAUGAAGAUUUUAAUAUGCUCUUUUCAAAAAUAUAAUAAAAAGUAGGGGUCACCGUGCUAUUUUUCAAGCUAUGAGUCGUUGAAAAUUGCCUAAAUUUGGUUAGAUUGUUAAUGGAAAAACACAAUUGUGUGCAUAAAAAAUAAUCUAUGAGAUAGAAUUUUGAAAUAAAUUGUGAAAAGAUAGGUUUUGUAAUAUGUUUUAAGAAAAUAAAAAGAAAAAAUGGUGUCACCGAACUUGUUUUCUUGCUACAAGUAAAAAGAAAAAAUUCCCUAUCUGUCCAGUACAAUUUUUUUACUAAAAGAGUUAUCUUCCCUGAAAUGGCUCAUUUGAAAAAAAUGAUUCAAAAAGCAAAAUAAAAUGAUAUUUGUUUAAUUAUUUUGAAUUAUACAAUAAAUUGCCAAGUUUUCUUUAUAUUAUUAAACAGUCUAACCAUCAAAUUGCAAAUCUGUCUCCAAAUUUGCAGAUUAAGGCAAAUAACUAGACCGGUUUUUUACUGUGAUUGUUCAAUCCAAGAUGGCGGUAUACCAUGAAUCUACCUUAAAUGAAUUU
rnacentral:lncRNA from 1 species